GGAGAGGAAGGCGAGUUGGUAAGGGCGUACGGCUACCAGCCUGAAGGUUACGGGUUCAAUUCCCGCCCUUUUUCA